UACGGAGGGUGCAAGCGUUAUCCGGAUUCACUGGGUUUAAAGGGUGCGUAGGUGGGCAGUUAAGUCAGUGGUGAAAUCUCCGGGCUUAACCCGGAAACUGCCAUUGAUACUAUCUGUCUUGAAUAUCGUGGAGGUAAGCGGAAUAUGUCAUGUAGCGGUGAAAUGCUUAGAUAUGACAUAGAAUACCGAUAGCGAAGGCAGCUUACUACAUGUUAAUUGACGCUGAGGCACGAAAGCGUGGGGAGCAAACAGG
rnacentral:rRNA from 1 species